UCUUCCCCUGCAUGCCAGCUGCUCUGGUCCUGGUGAUGAUCCAGCCGGACCUGCAGCACCAGCCGAUGGAACCAGAACAGGCUGCGGGGGCACUCAGGAGAAUGCAGUGCUUGCUGGAUGGUGGCUUCCAGGAACUGGUGGUGGAAGCGGCAGUUUACAGCCCAGGCCAGCCAGAGGGGACACUGGAGGUCAAGAGAGCUGCCUGCAGAGCUCUGAGAGAAGUUCUGAAGGGCCAAGAAGGAAUGACUCCCCAAGAUCCCGUUACCAUCCGACUCAGCUUGGGGGUGUGCAACGCAGGCUAUGAAAGACGGUACGAGGACAGGCUCCCCUAGGCCACACAGCAAUGUGCCUAGCAGCUCCUGUAUCCAUCUGAACUGCCACCUAAAAAAUAGAACAAAAAAAAAAAAACCUCCUAUUCAACCACAACCCCCACACAUUAAAAGUUGGGGUUUAUUCUCUGCAUGCCUGUGGGUAUGAAUAAACUUCAAACCAUUUAUUGCUUA